CUUCUGGCAUCUUGGUACUCGUCCGCCAAUUUUUCAGCAUCGGGUAAGGUAUGGGGUUUCCGGUCCCUCAGCCAAUUCUGUAAGUCCGUGGUCAGCCCUGAACGAACUGCUCCAAUAAAAGCAGUUGCAACAUGUCCUCCACGGUAGUGGCUUGCGCCGCUUGUAUCCAUCCCUUGGCAGCCCUGGUUAACCGGUGUGCCCACUCCGUGUGUGAGUCC